rnacentral:rRNA from 1 species
CCUACGGGCGGCAGCAGUGAGGAAUAUUGGUCAAUGGACGAAAGUCUGAACCAGCGAAGUAGCGUGAAGGAUGACUGCCCUAUGGGUUGUAAACUUCUUUUAUAAAGGAAUAAAACGAGGCACGUGUGCCUUUUUGCAUGUACUUUAUGAUUAAGGAUCGGCUAACUCCGUGCCAGCAGCCGCGGUAAUACGGAGGAUCCGAGCGUUAUCCGGAUUUGUUGGGUUUAAAGGGAACGUAGAUGGGUUGUUAAGUCAGUUGUGAAAGUUUGCGGCUUAAACGUAAAAUUGCAAUUGAUACUGGCAGUCUUGAGUACAGUUGAGGUAGGCGGAAUUCGUGGUGUAGCGGUGAAAUGCGUAGAUAUCACGAAGAACCCCGAUUGCGAAGGCAGCUUACUAAAUUGAGACUGACAUUGAUGCUCGAAAGUGUGGGUAGCAAACAGGAUUAGAUACCCGGGUAGUC